rnacentral:lncRNA from 10 species
CCCAGUGCUCCUGAACAGGAGAUGGAGCUAGACUCCUAUGAAUAGCCAAUUUCAUGAAAUAAUCUUUGAAAGAAGUGAGUAGCACUUUUUAUUUUUACAGGGAGACAUUGUUCAGUAUAUAAGAGAAAUUAGUCUUAGAAAUAUUGAGAGUCAUGCAAGAAAGAUGUUCUUUUUGCUUUCACAGACCUUCAAAGGGGAUGCUAUUGCCAAUCUGAGCAUCAAAUCAAAUGAGUUGCUUGAUUAAAGAACAGGGCUACCUUGUGUCUUUUUUUUUUUUUUUUUUUUUAUGAUUUCUUUCACUUUUCAAAACCCUUUCCAUUCUUCAGGACCCAUCUUCCUUGCUUCAUGGUUUAACACCUCAUGCUUCCUUGAAUCAGUUAGCCAGGAGAAUAAGAAAUUUUGGCUGAGUAUUGUUAGAACGGAGGCACUGGCCCACCUAGGAAGUUAGCCUCCAAACAAUGUGCUCAGCAGUUCCAAAUCUAGUGGCUCAAAGCCUCAUCUCCCUGGCUUUGUUAUCUACAGGUGCUGACCUGCUUGGUGAAUGCUGGGAUCUCUGGAAGAGGGAGGCAGACAUCACACACCAGCUGGCAAGUGGGAGCUGGCAUGCAACAUGCCCCAAUACCACUCCCCUCCUGCCAUCCCUAUCUCCUAAUGGUGCCUCCUUUUGGCCAAACCCACCUUUGGCUGGAGGGCAACAGAGCCCAUUGACGUGGUCCCCUUGCAUCUGCUACCUGGGGAGAAAAGCAGGAUGGACACUGAAUCUAGAGAAAUGAAGAAACCCAUCCAGAAGAAUACUGCUUCUUUAUGUUUUUGUAGGAACAGUGUCAUGGGAUGCUGGGGACAGCAGUUGGAGUGAUGCAUCUAUGGGCCAAGGGAAUGCCAAGGAUUGCCAGCCAUCACCAGGACAGAAGCAUGGGUACUGAUGCCCUCACAGAGCCCUUGAAGAGAGUCAACCCUGCUGACACCUUGAUUUCAGACUUCCAGCCUCCAGAACUGUGAGAGAAUAAAUUUCCGUUGUCUUAAGUCACCCAGUUUGUAGCACUUUAUUAUGGCAGCCCUGGGAAACUAACACACUACCCUUAUUUUCAUGCUGAGGAAUGUAAGAUAGUUUUAGGCACCACCUGCUUCUAUACAAGUUUUAUGAUCUCUCCUCCUAAUACUGCAGAAAUUAUGGGUUUUACCAUCUUAGUAUAUAGCAUAAUAUAUCCAGCACACGUUAUAUAUUUAGC